rnacentral:rRNA from 1 species
CGGGUGAGUAACACGUAUGGAACCUGCCCUAUGCAGGGGGAUAAGCGGAAGAAAUUCCGUCUAAUACCGCAUAACACCAUUUUGGAGACAUCUCCAGGUGGUCAAAGGAGGCGACUCCGGCAUAGGAUGGCCAUGCGUCGCAUUAGCUAGUCGGCGAGGUAACGGCCCACCGAGGCGACGAUGCGUAGGGGUUCUGAGAGGAAGGUCCCCCACACUGGUACUGAGACACGGACCAGACUCCUACGGGAGGCAGCAG